AUUGAACGCUGGCGGUAUGCUUUACACAUGCAAGUCGAACGGUAGAGGGGCAACCCUUGAGAGUGGCGAACGGGUGAGUAAUACAUCGGAACGUGCCCAGUCGUGGGGGAUAACGUAGCGAAAGCUACGCUAAUACCGCAUACGACCUGAGGGUGAAAGCGGGGGACUCGCAGGGGCCUCGCGCGAUUGGAGCGGCCGAUGGCAGAUUAGGUAGUUGGUGAGGCAAAGGCUCACCAAGCCGACGAUCUGUAGCUGGUCUGAGAGGACGACCAGCCACACUGGGACUGAGACACGGCCCAGACUCCUACGGGAGGCAGCAGUGGGGAAUUUUGGACAAUGGGCGCAAGCCUGAUCCAGCCAUACCGCGUGCAGGAAGAAAGCCUUCGGGUUGUAAACUGCUUUUGUCAGGGAAGAAAUCUUCUGGGCUAAUACCCUGGGAGGAUGACGGUACCUGAAGAAGAAGCACCGGCUAACUACGUGCCAGCCGCCGCCGAAAUAC
rnacentral:rRNA from 1 species